rnacentral:rRNA from 1 species
GACGAACGCUGGCGGCGUGCUUAACACAUGCAAGUCGAACGGAAAGGCCCUGCUUUUGUGGGGUGCUCGAGUGGCGAACGGGUGAGUAACACGUGAGUAACCUGCCCUUGACUUUGGGAUAACUUCAGGAAACUGGGGCUAAUACCGGAUAGGAGCUCCUGCUGCAUGUUGGGGGUUGGAAAGUUUCGGCGGUUGGGGCUGGACUCGCGGCUUAUCAGCUUGUUGGUCGGGUAGUGGCUUACCAGGGCUUCGACGGAUAGCCCACCUGAGAGGGUGACCGGGGACAAUGGGCCUGAGGGACGGCGCAGAAGCCUACGGGCGGCAGCAGUGGGGAGUAUUGCAGAAUAGGGGGAAGCCUGAUGCAGAAGCGUCGCGUGCGGGAUGACGGCCUUCGAGUUGUGAACCGCUUUCGCAUGUGCCGAAGCGUGAGUGACGGUAAUGAGUAAAGAAGCACCGGCUAACUACGUG